rnacentral:ncRNA from 2 species
AUCUUUGCACCCGUAUUUGGUUCACUUCUCUGCAUUCGCAGAAAGUGAUUAAAAGGGAAUCAGGUGAAAAUCCUGAACAGUCCCGCUGCUGUAAACUCUUUCUUUAAUUGACAAUAAACAAUUGAAGAAAACGUAUUGAACAACACUUUUGCCACUGAAGCAUCAGUUAUCAGGUAUCAGGUAUCAGUUAUCAGUUGAAGUCAAUCUGACUUUUUUACUGUUUACUGUUUACUGUUUUACUGUUCACUGACAUCGGGAAGGCGUUCAAUAACGGGAGUAAGUCAGAAGACCUGCCGAUAUAUCGAUUUGUAG